GACGAACGCUGGCGGCGUGCUUAACACAUGCAAGUCGAGCGAUGAAGCUCCUUCGGGAGUGGAUUAGCGGCGGACGGGUGAGUAACACGUGGGCAACCUGCCUUAUAGAGAGGAAUAGCCAUCCGAAAGGAUGAUUAAUACCUCAUAAUAUUGUAGCUUCGCAUGGAGCAACAAUCAAAGGAGCAAUCCACUAUAAGAUGGGCCCGCGGCGCAUUAGCUAGUUGGUGAGGUAACGGCUCACCAAGGCGACGAUGAGUAGCCGACCUGAGAGGGUGAUCGGCCACAUUGGGCCGGAGACACGGCGCGGACUCCUACGGGGGGCAGCAGUGGGGAGUAUUGCACAAAGGGGGACACCCUGAUGCAGCAACGCCGCAUGAGUGAUGACGGCCUUAGGGUUGUAAAGCUCUGUCUUCAGGGACGAUGAUGACGUUACCUGAGGAGGAAGCCACGGAUAACUACGUGCCAGCCGCCGCAGUAAAAC
rnacentral:rRNA from 1 species